rnacentral:rRNA from 1 species
UGGGGAAUAUUGCACAAUGGGGGAAACCCUGAUGCAGCGACGCCGCGUGAGCGAAGAAGGCUUUCGAGUCGUAAAGCUCUGUCCUAUGAGAAGAUAAUGACGGUAUCAUAGGAGGAAGCCCUGGCUAAAUACGUGCCAGCAGCCGCGGUAAUACGUAUGGGGCGAGCGUUGUCCGGAAUUAUUGGGCGUAAAGGGUACGUAGGUGGUUUUUUAAGUCAGGUGUCAAAGCGUGGAGCUUAACUCCAUUAAGCACUUGAAACUGAAAGACUUGAGUGAAGGAGAGGAAAGUGGAAUUCCUAGUGUAGCGGUGAAAUGCGUAGAUAUUAGGAGGAAUACCGGUGGCGAAGGCGACUUUCUGGACGAAAACUGACGCUGAGGCGCGAAAGCGUGGGGAGCAAACAGG